rnacentral:rRNA from 1 species
GAGAGUAAAACAGUACGUGAAAUUGUUGAAAGGGAAACGCUUGAAGUCAGUCGUGCCGGCGUUGGAUUCAGCUUGCUUCGCGGAGCAGGCGUAUUUCCAUGCAUGGCAGGUCAGCGUCAGUUUUGCGCGACGUGAAAGGGCUCGGGUAAGGUAGCUCUCUUCGGGGAGUGUUAUAGACCUGGGCAGAUGCGCUGCGCGGGACUGAGGAUUGCAGCGGACACCCCCUCGGGGGCGCGGCGACCGAACCCUGCUCGGCCACCCUCGUUCGAUAGCGUGCUAGCGGACGCGGGAGCGGCGGUGCACCGGAACAGGCAAGCCAGCGGUUCGCUAAGGAUGCUGACGUAAUGGCUUUAAACGA